UUGCCUACGGGUGGCUGCAGUCAGGAAUAUUGGGCAAUGGGCGAAAGCCUGACCCAGCAACGCCGCGUGAAGGAUGAAGGCCCUCGGGUCGUAAACUUCUGUCGAGAGGGAAGAAUGCGUACGGGUGAACAAUCCGUGCGUUUGACGGUACCUCCAAAGGAAGCACCGGCUAACUCCGUGCCAGCAGCCGCGGUAAUACGGAGGGUGCAAGCGUUGUUCGGAUUCAUUGGGCGUAAAGCGAGUGUAGGCGGUUUGACAAGUCGGAUGUGAAAUCCCGGGGCCCAACCCCGGAACUGCAUCCGAUACUGUCUGGCUAGAGUCCCGGAGAGGGUGGCGGAAUUCCCGGUGUAGGGGUGAAAUCCGUAGAUAUCGGGAGGAACACCAGUGGCGAAGGCGGCCACCUGGACGGUGACUGACGCUGAGACUCGAAAGCGUGGGUAGCAAACAGGAUUAGAUACCCGAGUAGUCGU
rnacentral:rRNA from 1 species